rnacentral:rRNA from 1 species
UACGUACGAGGCGAGCGUUAUCCGGAAUUACUGGGCGUAAAGCGCGCGCAGGUGGCUUGGUAAGUGAGAUGUGAAAUCUCCCGGCCUAACUGGGAGGGGACAUUUCAGACUGGCAGGCUUGAGGACAGCAGAGGUAGGUGGAAUUCCUGGUGUAGUGGUGAAAUGCGUAGAGAUCAGGAGGAACACCGGUGGCGAAGGCGGCUCUCUGGACGGAUACUGACGCUGAGGCGCGAAAGCGUGGGGAUCAAACAGG